rnacentral:rRNA from 1 species
CCUACGGGAGGCUGCAGUGAGGAAUAUUGGUCAAUGGGCGGGAGCCUGAACCAGCCAAGCCGCGUGAGGGAAGAAGGUACAGCGUAUCGUAAACCUCUUUUGUCAGGGAACAAAGGCGGGGACUAGUCCCCGGAUGAGGGUACCUGAAGAAAAAGCAUCGGCUAACUCCGUGCCAGCAGCCGCGGUUAUACGGAGGAUGCGAGCGUUAUCCGGAUUUAUUGGGUUUAAAGGGUGGGCAGGCGGCCUGUUAAGUCAGCGGUAAAAGCCCGGGGCUCAACCCCGGCGAGCCGUUGAAACUGGCGGGCUUGAGUUGGAGAGAGGUACGCGGAAUGCGCGGUGUAGCGGUGAAAUGCUUAGAUAUCGCGCAGAACCCCGAUUGCGAAGGCAACGGACCGGCUCCACACUGACGCUGAGGCACGAAAGCGUGGGUAUCGAACAGGAUUAGAUACCCGUGUAGUC